UCUGGGUGGAAUGUUGUCUGGUUCAAGGCCCCUUAGGAUGUGUGAUUUUUUAUGGUUUAUGCAUUCAUGCGAACAUCUAUCUCGGAUCUUUGGGUUCUCGGACCAGGCUUCCUUCCCCUCAGA
rnacentral:pre_miRNA from 1 species